rnacentral:lncRNA from 1 species
AUAGGUUUCUAGAGUUGUACUUUGGGAUUUUGGAUGAUGAAACAUAACUGUUUUUUUUUUUUGGUUAAAAUAUCGUUGGCGCAACACAUCCAUCAAUUUCACAGACAACUUUUCUCUAUUGGGAAAUUUUCAAUAGCCACCUUUCGUGAUUUUCUCCUCCCAACCACAUUUUUUCUAUCAAUAAAGUUUGAAGCCAUAACCUGUUUAAGUGAUUCGAGUUCUAUUCAACCGGACCAAUGUAAUGUUGGCGAAGUACAAAAUCAUAGAUGUUAUUGUUUAUCUAAAAACACUAAAACAAGGGGGGAAACUUCAGAUUUCAACAUGAAACUUCUUAGCUUUACAAUUUUAAUUCACAUCUUUUAGUGAUCAACUGAUUAGUUAACAAGAAUACUCCGAAAGUGAACAAGAAUUUAUUCAUGAAUAUAUGAAAUACUACAAGAAUAACA